GUGGGGAAUUUUGGACAAUGGGCGCAAGCCUGAUCCAGCAAUGCCGCGUGCAGGAAGAAGGCCUUCGGGUUGUAAACUGCUUUUGUACGGAACGAAACGGUCCUGGUUAAUACCUGGGGCUAAUGACGGUACCGUAAGAAUAAGCACCGGCUAACUACGUGCCAGCAGCCGCGGUAAUACGUAGGGUGCGAGCGUUAAUCGAAAUUACUGGGCGUAAAGCGUGCGCAGGCGGUGCUGUAAGACAGGCGUGAAAUCCCCGGGCUCAACCUGGGAAUUGCGCUUGUGACUGCAGUGCUGGAGUACGGCAGAGGGGGAUGGAAUUCCGCGUGUAGCAGUGAAAUGCGUAGAUAUGCGGAGGAACACCGAUGGCGAAGGCAGUCCCCUGGGCCUGUACUGACGCUCAUGCACGAAAGCGUGGGGAGCAAACAGGAUUAGAAACCCUGGUAGUCC
rnacentral:rRNA from 1 species